UAGAAGAGAUUGCAAAGGAGUUUGCGCAGGGGCAUGACAUGCCGAUGAAAGUGGUCAACACCACCUACAUGGGCAUGAACGCCCUCCAUGCUGCUGGUGACCUUGGCACGCUACCAGUCUAUCUGUAACUCCCGGAGGAGGUCAAGAUGGACGUUGGCAUGCCUGACACCAUUCAGGGUAAUUCAUUCAGUCACGCCUUUCAGUUCCUUGGACUUCUGUUUUGAUGUGAGUGGAUAUCAUAUUGUUCCCCUACUACUGUAAAGAAUCAUUCAUGAUAAUAAUGUUUGGCAAUGCAUUGAUUUUGUAUAUCUUUCUUUUCUUUGUUAAACUAAGGUCAAAUAUCCUUUUCCCGUGGGAACAAGAACGAUGAUGUAUCUGCUUUGGCUGACUGUUUUGAGUCCCCAAAAGUUGAGAAUGAACUAAAUUGAGCAACAGAAAAAAUAUAGGCUUUGACACAUAGAGGAAAAAAGAGAGAUGUAUUUCUGGAAACAAAUAAAAUUCUCACCUUCUAUGUAUUUUUAUGGCUGAUUCAUUGUAUGGGUGUACUAUUCAUGUAUGUAAAGGAGAUGGAGAAAGAUGGGAGUACUAGCUUUUAGAAAUACACUGACCUUUUGAAAUUCUGAUAUUGAUGGAGGGGAGAUAAUGAUUAGUGUGUCCUGGUUAUAAAGCUUGCAAAAAUGUAGAAAAAUAGGCAGAGCUAUUAAACAUUUUUCUGGACAUUAAGGUCAGGAGUAACGUAUUGUAUUUCUGUUCCUUUGAUACUUCUACAUUCUUUUCAUGACUGGUAAUGAAAAAUGUCCCCUUUUUGGUAUGAACGCCCUCCAUGAUGCUGGCGGCCUUGGCAUCCUACCAGUCUACUUGUACCUCCCUUGGGAGGUCAAGAUGGAUGCUGGCAUGCCCGACACCGUUCAGGGUAAUUCAUUCAUUCAUGCCUUUCAGUUCCUAGGCCUUGUGUUUUGCUGUGUGUGGAUUUCAUACUGUUCCCCUACUACUGUAAAGCCUCAUUCUUGAUAAUACUCUUUGGCAAUGCAUUGAUUUUUUUAUAUCUUUCUUUUCUUUAUUAAACUAAGGCCGUUUUGCUUUUUCUGUGGGAACAUGAAUGAUGAUGUAUCUACUUUGGCUAACUGUUUAGAGUUCCCAAAAGUUGAGAAUUAAUUAAAAUGAGCAACAGAAAAAUAUUGCCUUUGACACAUUGAGAAAAAAAAACAGAGAUGUAAUUUCUAAUUAGCGUGCUCACAUAUGUAAAGUGACUCUAUUUUCUUAUAUUUCUGGCAAUCCGGAACACAACAUAAUCUUGUUUUAAACUAACAACUAUAAGUAUAAGUUUGCUCACAUAAUCUUGAUAGGCUUUCCCAUAUUUUUGUGUGCUAUUAAUUGGAUUUUGUAAUCGAGUUAGUUUUGUUAGGGCUUGAUCCCUAGUAUCCACUAUGUUCUGAGAUUGGAGAAUUGCUUUGCAUACUCACAAAAUUAGAUUCCUUCAUUGUCUUGUACUGAAAAUUAUGUCUUCUUUGUUAAGAUGAAGGCUGAAACUAAUCUUCCACUUGUAUCUCAAUUUCCCUUGUAGCAAGGUCAUGAGGAGCUUGAUGCUGCUUUGUUUGUGGGAGCUUGAAGAGUUCACAAAGGUGAAAAUAGUGAAGAUAGAACUUGGGAAAUAUGAGAUAGAUACCUGGUAUUUCUCUCCUUCCCCACUUUAAGCACAAAGAACAACUUCAGAGGCACAUUGUGCGCUUGCACUUAUUAUUUUUACUGUAUUGUCAGUUCGGUGUUUGUGAGAUAGGCAUUGCUAACUUGCAACUUGUGAACCGGUUUACUCCUUGUCUGUCUCUCUCGGCCCUUGUAUCUUGAUUUUACAUGUACCAGUAGACAUCACUUCUGUUAUUUAGAUACAAGUUUUGUGUUUGGACAUGUGAAUUUUCUCUCACUACUUGAAGGUUUCAUGUGGAAUUUCCGAGAGUACCAAACCAACUCCUAGUUUUUCACCCUUCUGUCAGUCCUUGUAUCUAAAUUAACUGCAACUAUUUUCUGCAAGGAACUGCAUUAAGCAAGAACACAAACCCCUGUCUCCACCACAUAUAUUUCUCAUUGUCAAAGGAAGGUCAUCUUUAGAAAUCUGAAGUCAUGGCUGCCUGUUAGGGUGUCUUUGGAUCCUAAGCAAUUGUAGUGUUAGCUUGCUUAGCAAGGAAAUCUGUUUGGUAAAAGCUAAACUAACCUGGCAAUUCCAUCUAGCCUGCACACGCUAGAAAAGCCUUGCCCCAGCAGGAGGGCCAAUUUGGCUCUCCGUUGGUAAUAAAUGAGUGGAAGAAAGAAAUCAAGGUAACUGCCACUGGAAUUGUGCUUAACCAAGGAGAUUGGUAGCUGAACCAAAUAGCUGGCUUUGCCCACGUAGGCUGUAGCUCAAAAGCCUUGGUUAGCUCGGCAUUGACGGCAAAAGAUAUAAACACACCCUCAAUGACAUCACUCCCUCUAAUUCACAAGUGCUGUUUGGACAUUAGCACGCUCCACACCGUAACUUCGACAAGCAAUUUCUGCUAUCAUGCAUACAUUUAAAUUUUUUCUGAGUGGACAGAGUACCAUAUGUUGACUUAGGUGAACAUUUCUGGUUUGUGCAAUAUAUUUAGUUGCCGAGUUGAUCGAUUAGAUUUAGAUAGAAAGCGUCCAAAUACGAAGAAAAUUGCUGAGCCAUUAAACUGUUUUCUGGAGAUCAAAGUCACCAAGUAUUCUAUGGAGGGCUCGCAGAAUGGCGCCUGUACAGAAAUGAGUUGACUUUGUGUUGUUAUCCGGCUUGUUUAGUUCGUUGACCUAUUUGUGUUUAUUGAUCCAUAUUUAAAUGUUCUCAAUUCACAGUCAACAGGAGGUUGGAUGAGUGGGUUAAACUUGAACAACCUGCUCUCUCUCACGUUGCUCUUCACCUUUGUUUGAAUUCGUUUUGCAUCGUUUGGUAGAACCGGGAUGAAUUUUGAUUAAGUUGUUUGCCCUUUCUUUGUGUUGUGUUCAAUUUCAUCACUGAUUUCCUUGUUAGUACCACUACUUGUUUCUGCGACUAUUCUAAUUGCAGACGACGACAUCAGCAUCCCUACAGAUCUGAAGCGGCCCAUCCUUAAUGGUUUCUACCGCCAUAUCUACCAACCCCGACCGGAUUUAUCAUUGCAUGGGAUCUCUCCUUAUCCGACGCUCACUCUGACGCAUCUGGCAUAGGUAAGCCACUGGUUCCUCCUCUGGUCACCCUCAUGCUCCGUGUAACCAUGGCCACCGAGUUGUGAUGAUUUUUUUUGUACACGAAUGAGAUAAUUUAUGUGUUCCAAACAUUGUGCACAGAUCAUUCUUAUAUUUGCUUGAAUUGGGAAACCCAAUCAAAUCAUCUUCUUUUGUGCUUCCUAUUUGCUGAUCCAUCGUAUGGGUGUACUGUGUAUGUAUGUAAAGGAGAUGGAGAAAGAUAGGAGUUGUAGCUUUUAGAAAUCUUGGUAUUGAUGGGGAAAGAUAGUGAUCACAGUUUCUUUGUUGGAAAGUGUCCAAACUUUUUUUCCCGGAAAUAUAAAUAUGAAUAAAGACAUUGUAUUUCUGUUACCAAAUAAAAAUCAUCUCCUUUUGUGUUUUUUAUGGCUGAUCCAUUUUAUGGGUGUUUUGUGCUUGCAUGUAAAGGGAAUGGGGAAAGAUGGGAGUACUAGCUUUUAGAAACACAUUUACUUAUUGGAAUUCCAGUAUUAAUGGGGGAAGAUAAUAAUCACUGUGUCCAGGUUAGAAAGCUUCCAAUUACGAAGAAAAUAGCCAGAGCUAUUAAACAUUUUUCUGGAGAUUCAAUUCACCUAUUAUAUUUCUGUUCCUCCGAUACUGCUACGUUCUUUUCAUGAUUGGUAACUACAAGUGUUCCCUUUUUGAUUAACAGAAGUGAUUGCAAAGGAGCUGGAUGUGCAGGGCCAUGGAAUCCCGAUGACAGUGGCCAACAUCACCUACAUAGGCAUGAACGACCUCCAUGCUGUUGGCGGCCUUGGCACGCUACUGUUCUACCUUUAUCUCCUGGAGGUCAAGAUGGAUGUUGACAUUCCCAACACUGUUCAGGGUAAUUCAUUCAUUCAUGCCCCAUACUUGGCAUGCUAUUGUUCUAACUUUAUCUCCUGGAGGUCAAGAUGGAGGUCAAGGUGGAUCGGCAGGAGCUAGAAGUAAGGUUAUCUCCUUUUUCUUCCAUUCCGAAGAUGGUUGCCAUUUAUACAUUUCAAGUUAGUAGCUAUUCCAUUGUAUCACAAUAGAGAAGUAAUUUGGUUGCGUGAAAAACAUCUAGGUUUCUCACUGGAGCGGAACUCCUUUGCACGGAGUCUCAUAACGCAGACUCAUCCCUGAAAGCACUAUGACAGCACUCAGGUUCAAUCAUGUGUUGCCCCCUGAAGGUCGGUUGCGUGCUUGAUCAUCCUGUCACAUCACAUAUAUUCAUGUUGGCAUUGUGUGGGCCUAACAAAAAAUGCUUGGUUUGCUACAAUUUUAGGCUGCUCCUGUGUCCAGCCUUGCCAAUCAGGCCGGCCUCCACAUGCUGGAGGCGCCGCUGAUUGCUCUCCAGGUUCCCCAAGAUCAUGCAGCAGGUACUUAGCCAGCUACCAUUGUGAAUGAAUGGCAGACUCGCCCCCGGCUGUUUGUAACAAAACUGGAAGUUUGAAACUCUUGCUUUGUUCAUGGUUUGGCGUACCUACCCUGGCGGUGUGUGCGUGUUCUUGCAAAUAAGGUCUAUGGCCCAUUUACAUAUAUUUGAUGCUCUUAGAUGGACAUGAAAACACUUGCUUGUAGAUUUGGCGCCACUAUAUUUUAGGUCCAUGUUCUAACUGUCAAUAAUAUGGCACUACACUUGGUUUUAUCUCCUGUUUUUUAGAGUUCGAUGAAAAACUGCCACACCAAAGUUGGUUGCUUCUAGGUGCUAUUGUAUAGUGAAUGAUAACUGAUUUAUAGUCCUGAGAUGUUUAUUUGUGUUCUCUUCCCAAACAUAGCUACUGUUUUAAUUUUGAUUUGGUCGCUAUUAUGAUUGCUUAAGCUUCAUCAUGUUCCCUCUUCUUUUCAGAAAAAGAACAUUUAGCUUAUUCUUUGUGGUUGUCUAAUCUUCCAUAACCUCGGCUUGCGCAACCGUUGCAGUUGUCGUCACCUCUUCUUGGUUCAGGUGAGCCCUUGAUCUCCCUCCCUCUUUUUCACUGAGAUAGUCUGCCAAAUUUUGAAUGUUGAUUCAGUGUUCAGAUCUCCGGUGGUUUUCUUCUGGCCACCACAAUCAUGUGAGCUUGCUGGAUUUUUGUCCCUAUGAGCUGGCCGAAUUGAUUAUUUCAAAAUGGUAAGGAUUUUUGGCAGUCAAGGGCUUAGUUGGAUUGAAAAUGUGAAAUCUAAGCCCUUUGACAAAUUAAAUGUUGUCUCUCGACUAUGGAGCAAAAUUAUAUGAUUUGGUCUUUGUUUGUUAUCUUGUCACGUAGUUGGACGAAAUGGGAACUUCCCUAUCUGCUAAAUCGAGCACGCAUUGCAUUAGCUUCAUUGAGUAAGUGCCAUAUCGAGCGAAGCAGAGCAGGAGCUUGCUCUUGUCUUGGCGCUAUUUUUGGUACUGCUAUCGCGUCAUGUUUAUUUGGUUACGGUCACCAUUGAUGAACAGUUCAUCUACAGUUUGAAAUAAGUUCGGGUCAGAACACUGGUUUUUUUCCCUUGCAUUUUUGGUUCAAAAAGUACCAGUUUGAUUAGCUGCAGUUCGUAUUUGUACUAUAUAGAACACAUAUUAAUAAAUUAGCUCAAUGGAAUAAGCGCGUAACCAAGCUAAGGGUAGCAGGGCUUGCACUUGUCUUGUUGCUAUAUUUGGUACUGCGAUGGUGUCAUGUUCAGUUAGUUACUAUCACCAUCGAUCAACUAGAUUCCAUUUGCAUUUUGAAACUAGUUUUGAUAAAGAACACUGAUACCUGUAGUAUUUUUGGUUGAAAAAGCACCAGCAUGAUAGGGCAGUGGAGUUCUAAUUCUUGAGUGACACACUGUGACAGUGUGACCGCAUUAUGGAAUUUUUUUAACCUGUUAUGCCAAUGCCUCUUCACUGUUUGAUAUCUAACCGUGUACUUAUUUUGAUGUCCUUUGUAACAGAAUUUACCCAGAAAUGCCCUUUUAGCAUGGAAAAAUAAAUUUCAUUCUACGCUCUCAACUAUACAUGUAGUGAGAAUGAUGAACAUCUUUGUUCUUGUUGUUGUUGCCUACAGCACGUGCCACUUGGUCUGGUGCAGGGCAGGGUGAUGCAUGUGGCGUAGCUGCCCAGCAAGAUGGGCCUCGUCGACAAGAGGUGCAGGAAGGAACGAUCAUAUGGUCAUUGUUGUGAUUGCGGAUGCUCACCAAGAUCACAUCGCCCAAAGCAUGAAUUUCUGGACCUCACCAUCUAUUCCUCGGUCCAGGCAAGUUUGUGGUCUCCUCCUCCCCCCCUCUCUCUCUCUCNNNNNNNNNNNNNNNNNNNNNNNNNNNNNNNNNNNNNNNNNNNNNNNNNNNNNNNNNNNNNNCACACACACAGAGAUACACAUACACAUACGUGCACCCCUAGAUUGUCAGUCAUCUGAGUCGUGGUUGAUCGUGGUUCGGGCCAUCGAGCCAAUGAUUAGUGUUUGGAUCUACGGUGGCAUUCUUGUGUGACUGGUUGAUCAUCUUUCUUGUUGAUGAGACUGGUACCUUGUAUUUUUGUGCUGGGUCCUGUUUAGCACUUCAUGCUACACGGUUUGGUAAUGUCAUGCUUAGUUUUGAUAGAUAGGAUCCAUCCUUACUUAUUUUGGGAUUUUGACUUGUUGGUGGUUUGCUAGAAUCAAAUAGAAGAAAAUGCUUACUUGGUGUAGUGUGGCUGGUGCAUAGAUAGAUAGAACAAGUGCCAUCCUCGUGUACUUUUGAGGGAGCCAUCAUGUGUUGGCAAUAUUUAUGAUAAGUCGUGGAUGCUUUUGCCCAUGAAGAGUGGAUAUUAUUCUGGCUUUGGAACUACCUUUUUUAUCAGUCUAUUCAUGAUUGAGUCCAGACUUUUUUUUGGUUGUAUGAAAUGUUAGCCUGCAUUUGCUUAGGUUAGGACAACAUGUGUUUUGUGUUUUUCUGUAAACAAAUGUUUUGUGAUUUUUCAGAGUGAAUGUCUACUUGGGGUAACAACCUUCUUAACAAGAGCCUUUCUGGUCAAAUUCCACAAUCCUUGACAUAUUUGAUCUUGUAGGCGUCAAAAUUUUUGUGGCAUUGAGCCGUUAUACAAGUGCUGAGGUUAUUUGCAUUUUGUAAAAGCUAGCUUUUGGUUAUUUGUUAUGUUGCAUCGCUCUGCUGUUGGCUGAAAUGGUGUGUUGUGAGUGUCGUGUCCAAAGCAAAGCAAUUUGUCAAGUAGAGAGAAUAAUUUUUCUGGGCUGGCUUAUGAUCUUCGCCUAUACAAAGGGAUAGUGUAUUUGUUGGUUGGAAAAAGUGAUGCAUACCAUUGGUACUUUGCUUUUGUCAGGACCCCGACUCAAUGCCACAUCGAUCCAGCAUGUAACACUUCAUAUCACUUUGCGGCCUCACGCACGGUAUUCCCACGGGUGUCGCCUUACCUUUACCCGGGAUCGUUUGCGUCUUUUGGCACACGUAUAUGAUAAUGUCGCUAGCAUCCAUAUGAUAAGGAGCCCGGGCUGACAUGGCUAUUCGUAAACCCAAAGUGGCACAAACUUACAGGGACAGACAUCCAUGACCCAGCAUCGAACGUGUCGGUCAUCAGCGAGUGAAUCCAGGCUGUAGCACUGGGCUAGCAGGACUUCGGUGAACCAGGCUGUAGCGGGCUAACAGGACUCCGGUAUUCAUCGCGUGACAUUUCCCCGAAGGGACAGACACAGGAACGAAGAAGGACACAUGCCGGCCAGCCUAAGUGUUUCGGAGCAGUAGCAAGCUACCAUGGCUCGGUGGAAACACUAGGAGACAUUUCCCGGUAAGAGAGGCUACUAAAGAUAAACAACUAGAUAGUCAGAUCCCACACAUAUCAAGCAUUUCAAUAACAUACACACAAUAUGCUCGAUAUGUGCAAUACAACAUGGCAUCACAAAAUGACUCUACGACUCAAGUAGUUUAUUCAAUAGGCUUCGAGGAGCGAGACAUUACAAACAUGGGUCUCAUGACCCAACAAUCAGAGCAUACAAGUCAAAGCACAAGCGGAAGCUAUCAUGUCUGGGUACAGACAUCUAUAAAUGAAAAAGGCUGAGAAGCCUGACUAUCUAUCAGAUCCUGCCGAGGGCACAAGAUCGUAGCUGAGGUAACAAGCUAAACGUCGAAGUCCACGUGGAACUACUAGUGAGACUGAAGUCUCUCUGCAAAAACAUAAAAUAGGCAAACGUGAGUACAAAUGUACCCAGCAAGACUUACAUCAAAACUAACUACAUAUGCAUCAUUUUCAACAAGGGGAUGGUGGGGUUUAACUGCAGCAAGCCAGCUUUGACUCGGUGGCUAUCCUAAACUACGACUGCAAGCGACUCUUUUGAGGUGGCGCACACGAGUCCACAUAUUCACCAUAUCAAUACACCACUAUGGAUCCGCUCCCGUCUCCCUAUGAGAACGCCAUCCAUAGCACUCACGCUUAUCUUGCGUAUUUUAAAGUAUCCACUUUCACUUGUCUAUGAACUGAUAUAAACAACCAAGUAGUCCUUUACCGCGGACGCGACUAUUCGAAUAGAUCAUGAUAACCCUGCAGGGGUGUACUUCUUCAUACAUGUUUCCACCACUUAGCGUCUGCACACGACAUGUGCUCGGCAGACUUCAAGCUACCGCAACAAGUAACAGAUGAAUCGAUGUUGUCCUAAUGCAGUAAAAGAGAGCAGGAGCGAGAGAGUGGGAUUGUAUCGGAAUGAACAAGGGGGUUUUGCUUGCCUGGCACUUCUGAAGAUAAUAUUGAGUCUUCAUCAGUGUCAACGAUCACAUCAUCGGUAUCACGUCUAUCGAGAGGGGACAAAUACCGGCAACACAGAAGGGAACACAAUCAAUGCAAUGCACAAUAUGAUGCAUGAUCAUGACAUGGCAAAAUGAAUGUGUUUUGAGCCAAUGCAACUAGCAACAGAUUAAAUGAAGUUGGUUUGAAUACAAGAUUCAAAUUCAAACUCCAUAUGUGAUUAUUUAAAUGCCCUUUAUUUGAUUUGUGCUAAACAGCAACUAUAAGUUGUUCUAACAUGCAUGAAAAUGGUACAGAUGGAUUCCUUGAAUUUUACUGAUAAUUUUUCAUAUAUAAAUUAUUUAAUUUGGAGUUACGGUUGAAUUUCUAUGAAUUUUAGAAGUUUAUACAAUUUUCUGGAAUUUAUAAAUCAUUUCCUAAUUUAUUUUAAUUCCAGAAAGGAAUUAUUGCGUCAGCAUGACCUCAUCCUGACGUCAUCAGGUCAACAGGGCGGGUCCAGGUCAAACNNNNNNNNNNAGAUACCUGGUAUUUCUCUCCUUCCCCACUUUAAGCACAAAGAACAACUUCAGAGGCACAUUGUGCGCUUGCACUUAUUAUUUUUACUGUAUUGUCAGUUCGGUGUUUGUGAGAUAGGCAUUGCUAACUUGCAACUUGUGAACCGGUUUACUCCUUGUCUGUCUCUCUCGGCCCUUGUAUCUUGAUUUUACAUGUACCAGUAGACAUCACUUCUGUUAUUUAGAUACAAGUUUUGUGUUUGGACAUGUGAAUUUUCUCUCACUACUUGAAGGUUUCAUGUGGAAUUUCCGAGAGUACCAAACCAACUCCUAGUUUUUCACCCUUCUGUCAGUCCUUGUAUCUAAAUUAACUGCAACUAUUUUCUGCAAGGAACUGCAUUAAGCAAGAACACAAACCCCUGUCUCCACCACAUAUAUUUCUCAUUGUCAAAGGAAGGUCAUCUUUAGAAAUCUGAAGUCAUGGCUGCCUGUUAGGGUGUCUUUGGAUCCUAAGCAAUUGUAGUGUUAGCUUGCUUAGCAAGGAAAUCUGUUUGGUAAAAGCUAAACUAACCUGGCAAUUCCAUCUAGCCUGCACACGCUAGAAAAGCCUUGCCCCAGCAGGAGGGCCAAUUUGGCUCUCCGUUGGUAAUAAAUGAGUGGAAGAAAGAAAUCAAGGUAACUGCCACUGGAAUUGUGCUUAACCAAGGAGAUUGGUAGCUGAACCAAAUAGCUGGCUUUGCCCACGUAGGCUGUAGCUCAAAAGCCUUGGUUAGCUCGGCAUUGACGGCAAAAGAUAUAAACACACCCUCAAUGACAUCACUCCCUCUAAUUCACAAGUGCUGUUUGGACAUUAGCACGCUCCACACCGUAACUUCGACAAGCAAUUUCUGCUAUCAUGCAUACAUUUAAAUUUUUUCUGAGUGGACAGAGUACCAUAUGUUGACUUAGGUGAACAUUUCUGGUUUGUGCAAUAUAUUUAGUUGCCGAGUUGAUCGAUUAGAUUUAGAUAGAAAGCGUCCAAAUACGAAGAAAAUUGCUGAGCCAUUAAACUGUUUUCUGGAGAUCAAAGUCACCAAGUAUUCUAUGGAGGGCUCGCAGAAUGGCGCCUGUACAGAAAUGAGUUGACUUUGUGUUGUUAUCCGGCUUGUUUAGUUCGUUGACCUAUUUGUGUUUAUUGAUCCAUAUUUAAAUGUUCUCAAUUCACAGUCAACAGGAGGUUGGAUGAGUGGGUUAAACUUGAACAACCUGCUCUCUCUCACGUUGCUCUUCACCUUUGUUUGAAUUCGUUUUGCAUCGUUUGGUAGAACCGGGAUGAAUUUUGAUUAAGUUGUUUGCCCUUUCUUUGUGUUGUGUUCAAUUUCAUCACUGAUUUCCUUGUUAGUACCACUACUUGUUUCUGCGACUAUUCUAAUUGCAGACGACGACAUCAGCAUCCCUACAGAUCUGAAGCGGCCCAUCCUUAAUGGUUUCUACCGCCAUAUCUACCAACCCCGACCGGAUUUAUCAUUGCAUGGGAUCUCUCCUUAUCCGACGCUCACUCUGACGCAUCUGGCAUAGGUAA
rnacentral:lncRNA from 1 species